ensembl:lncRNA
CUUCCUUCCAGAGAUUGUGCACCACAACUCUUAAAUGAAACAUCAAGUGACACUGUAUUUUUAAUGUUUCUUCUAAAUGUGAAGAUGGAGGGUGUUCUGGGUGUUACGCUGCAUCUGUGUGUGUGCAAACUGAUGAGCAGCAUGCUGUUGUGUUCGUCUGUAAUCACACACACCAUCACUGCGGUCAGUCUGUGCUGCAGCUGCCUGCUGUUAUUUACAGACCUCGCUGUCACUGUGUUUUUGCUCUACAUCUGGUUCAUGGAGUCCUGGUUGACGCCUUUUUACGCGUCUUCGGAUGUCAUCGCCCUUCGAUUUCUGCUCUUCCUUUGCAAGGCCUAUGGAGUUGUGUUACUGCUGAUGCCGCCUUUGAUUGCUGUGGAGUUGUUGGUUGAUCUGCUGUGUCCUCAAAGUGGGCGAACGAAGGGUAGAGAUGCAAGUGAAUCCCUCUCUAGUACAGUUGGCUAUUUGGGAUGUUUUCUAGCAUGGAGCAUGAGCGGGAUCUACAGCAGCCACGACUGGAUGCUGGAGCAGAUCUCAGUGGAAACCUGUCAAGGACAAGGUGGCCAUCUUCUCACGUGCCUUCCCAGCGCUGAUGAGUCUUCCUGGGUUCUUCCUUCUAUGGUGGUCCUGUUGAGUUUAACAGGGAGCCUGGGUCUGUUCAGGACGAAGGCAUCCAGAAGAUUGCCUGACUCAUCUAAAAACACACAGAUGGGCAAGAAAAAGGACUAUUUGGGCCCUGGGCUAAUGCAUAUGUCACAAACUCUGGUUGACUCAGAAAAAACACCCAACAGCUGUGGCGUACACAUGGCUGGGUUUGUGAACAGUGAGCCACGACAGAUCUGUCCUGGGAAUGGUGUACUGUGCGCUCAACAAACCGGUUUGGCAGACAGUAUCAAGAAACAAAAGCAAUCAUCCAGCUUUGCAACAUUUGCACAGUCCAAAACCGAUCUUUCUCUGGAAGUCACAUCAUUGGCUGUCUUUAACAGGACAGACGCAAAGUCUCAAAGCAGAUGCUAUUGGUUUCCCAAAAGGGAAAGUCCCUGCUCAGGGCGAGAAAUCUUCACAGGGUUGGUAUGCGUGGCUCUAGUUUGUGUUUUUCCCACAGUCAUCAGUGGUAAUAUUCUCCUAAUCUUUAAUCUGGAGAAUCUGGUGGUGUACAACUUAAAACUCUUAUCUCUAUCAGUUAACAGAGUACCGGAUCUGUAAGUGCUGAAGGUGCAGAUGUGUGGAUAAACAAAUAAAAAUCUAUAUAUUUAACCCUCUGGUGCUCUU